AACGAGGCCGACCUGCGGCUGAGUUACCUGCGGAAGGAUCAUUAACAAUUGUCCAUUUUCCUUUACAAAUAUGGAUGGUUCAAAUCCAUAUCCACCUUCUUGUGCACCUCAUUGACACGUUUGCUUUGGCAGUCUGCGGGAGAGGAGAGAGAUCCUUCGAUCGUUUCUCCGUGGAUGGGAAAAAGCGAUGGAAAGUUAUUCUUUUCUCACCUUUUUUUGUUCCCCUCCGGCGCUGCCAGA
rnacentral:misc_RNA from 1 species